GGGCGGUUAGCUCAGUUGGUUUAGAGCGCCUGCCUUACAAGCAGGAUGUCGGGGGUUCAAGUCCCUCACCGCCCA
rnacentral:tRNA from 1 species